rnacentral:rRNA from 1 species
UACGAAGGGGGCUAGCGUUGCUCGGAAUCACUGGGCGUAAAGGGUGCGUAGGCGGGUCUUUAAGUCAGAGGUGAAAUCCUGGAGCUCAACUCCAGAACUGCCUUUGAUACUGAGGAUCUUGAGUUCGGGAGAGGUGAGUGGAACUGCGAGUGUAGAGGUGAAAUUCGUAGAUAUUCGCAAGAACACCAGUGGCGAAGGCGGCUCACUGGCCCGAUACUGACGCUGAGACGCGAAAGCGUGGGGAGCGAACAGG